GUCCAGACUCCUACGGGAGGCAGCAGUGGGGAAUAUUGCACAAUGGGGGAAACCCUGAUGCAGCAACGCCGCGUGAAGGAAGACGGUUUUCGGAUUGUAAACUUCUGUUCUUAGUGAAGAAGAAUGACGGUAGCUAAGGAGCAAGCCACGGCUAACUACGUGCCAGCAGCCGCGGUAAUACGUAGGGGGCAAGCGUUAUCCGGAUUUACUGGGUGUAAAGGGAGCGUAGACGGUGCAGCAAGUCUGAUGUGAAAGGUCGGGGCCCAACCCCGGGACUGCAUUGGAAACUGUUGAACUGGAGUACAGGAGAGGUAAGCGGAAUUCCUAGUGUAGCGGUGAAAUGCGUAGAUAUUAGGAGGAACACCAGUGGCGAAGGCGGCUUACUGGACUGUAACUGACGUUGAGGCUCGAAAGCGUGGGGAGCAAACAGGAUUAGAUACCCUUGUAC
rnacentral:rRNA from 1 species